GCCCAGGUGGCUCAGUCAGUUAAGCAUCCGACUUCGGCUCAGGUCAUGAUCUCACAGUUUGUGAGUUUGGAUCUCACCUUGGGCU
rnacentral:tRNA from 1 species